rnacentral:rRNA from 1 species
AUGAACGCUGGCGGCGUGCCUAAUACAUGCAAGUCGAGCGAACGGACGAGAAGCUUGCUUCUCUGAUGUUAGCGGCGGACGGGUGAGUAGCACGUGGAUAACCUACCUAUAAGACUGGGAUAACUUCGGGAAACCGGAGCUAAUACCGGAUAAUAUUUUGAACCGCAUGGUUCAAAAGUGAAAGACGGUCUUGCUGUCACUUAUAGAUGGAUCCGCGCUGCAUUAGCUAGUUGGUAAGGUAACGGCUUACCAAGGCAACGAUGCAUAGCCGACCUGAGAGGGUGAUCGGCCCCACUGGAACUGAGACACGGUCCAGACUCCUACGGGAGGCAGCAGUAGGGAAUCUUCCGCAAUGGGCGAAAGCCUGACGGAGCAACGCCGCGUGAGUGAUGAAGGUCUUCGGAUCGUAAAACUCUGUUAUUAGGGAAGAACAUAUGUGUAAGUAACUGUGCACAUCUUGACGGUACCUAAUCAGAAAGCCACGGCUAACUACGUG